UACCAACAGACAACUGUCAGUUCAACUGAACAGUCACCUGCUUCAGGAAAUUUUAUUGGAGUUAUCUAACUUGAUCUGAAUGUGCACAUUAAACACUCUGACCUGUGAUUUGAUCGAUGCUCUUUCGGUUUGAAGUCGAUGACCAUAAACAUUAUUAUUAAAGAUUAUCCAGCAAAGCAAACAAACAAACAACCACACUGGACAAAUGGAAACUCGACCAGCCUUGGGUCUUGUGUAGUUUCAUCAAUUCGGAGUAGAUGUUGGAGUCCAGUACCUUGGAAACACAGAUCACUCCCCCCAUAAACGCACCAAGCAUUCCAGUUGUGCACGGAUCCUGGCCUGGAAAUAACAUCAAGCAUAGGAUUAUUUCCAGGGAUUUACUAGUCUAAAAUUGUUAGGAGAGGUGGAGGGUGUCGACAGUAAAGGGAACAGGAAUAUAAAGGGAACCCCAGUUAUUAAUAUGGGGUGAUUGUAACUGAACACUUUAGUCAAUUAUUUAAUUGGUGCUGGAGGCUGUUCAGCAAUCUUUGUAAUGAAUGUAGGAUAAUGAAAGGAAACGUUGGAAUUUGAAUCUUACAUGUACUUUAGAAUCCUGGAUAAAACGAGGUAUACUGCAUUUUGUAUUUAUGAUUUCUAAUCACUUUUUUAAGGUGGACAAAUGUUUUAUAUGAACAUAAAAAUUGCACAUACAUGUACUAAUAUUGGAGAUGAAUUUCAUUAUUUAUUCAUAUGUACAAAGGAAAGAUGUAAAUAUGUUAAUAAAUACUAUAUGUUAACAGAUCAAAUAUAUACAAAUUUCAGCAAAUCUUUACAUGUAAACAUGUCAGUGUUUUGAUUAACAAAUGAUUCUGUGCCUUCUAACGAUCAUAUAACUUUCUUUUUAUUUCUCUUGAACAUUUAGCUGCUCAUAUAUACACAUAUAUCUUUUUUUUUUGGAGUCUUCUUG